rnacentral:tRNA from 1 species
GCCAGUGUGGUGUAGUAGUUUGAACAUUGGACUAUGACUUUGGAAACCAGGGUUCGAAUCCCUGCUCAGUCA